UUCACAACUUCCAUCGACUCCAUUGUCGUCGUCUUCUUCUUCAUCCUGCAACUUUCACUGUAUGCAUUCACAAUCUCGACUGGAACAAUUUGUAGAGAAGCUGCUUUAGAUUUCCAAAUUAUGGUUUCCUUUUUCUUGACAAGUUGAUUAUGAUAAUUACAUACAACUACAGUUUGAUUUUCAUGAAAGGAUAAAGGUUUCAUUUCCCCAAUGGAACUAACACUUGUCUUUGCCAGGAAGUGGAGGUACUGCUGGAACAGGUUCAAGAAGCUAGAAGAAUUAAACUUUUGCAUCAGCCUAGUACGGUGAUGGACAUGGAACAUGAACUGAGGGCUUCAAUCAACUACAUGUUGUGACUCACGGUGAAAAUUGCAGGAUGAAGAAGAAGAAGAGGACAAUGGAGUCGAUGAAAGUUGUGAAAAUUGGAGGAAUAAGGUUUUAGGGUAUUUUAGUUAGAUGUUUUUAUUAAAAAAAAAAUUGUGUCAAGUGGGGCGGAUUUAGUUAAAAUAGGUGAGUUUAAAAUUAAUUUAAAUAAUUAAAUUACAACCAAUGAUUGAG